GGCCAGACUCCUACGGGAGGCAGCAGUGGGGGAUAUUGCACAAUGGGGGGAACCCUGAUGCAGCGACGCCGCGUGGGUGAAGGAGCGUUUCGGCGCGUAAAGCCCUAUCGGCAGGGGAGAAGAUGACGGUACCUGACCAAGAAGCCCCGGCUAACUACGUGCCAGCAGCCGCGGUAAUACGUAGGGGGCAAGCGUUAUCCGGAUUUACUGGGUGUAAAGGGAGCGUAGACGGCAGUGCAAGUCUGGAGUGAAAGGCGGGGGCUCAACCCCCGGACUGCUCUGGAAACUGUACGGCUGGAGUGCAGGAGAGGUAAGUGGAAUUCCUAGUGUAGCGGUGAAAUGCGUAGAUAUUAGGAGGAACACCAGUGGCGAAGGCGGCUUACUGGACUGUAACUGACGUUGAGGCUCGAAAGCGUGGGGAGCAAACAGGAUUAGAUACCCGAGUAA
rnacentral:rRNA from 1 species